AAAGAUUAAGCCAUGCAUGUCUAAGCAUAAACCGAAUAUGGUAAAGCCGCGAAUGGCUCAUUACAACAGCCAUAGUUUAUUGGAUCUUAGAGUCCUACUUGGAUACCUGUGGUAAUUCUAGAGCUAAUACGCGCAAUCAAGCCCCAACCUUACGGGCGGGGCGCAUUUAUUAGAACAAAACCAAUUGGCUUCGGCCAUAGCUUGGUGAAUCUGAAUAACUACGCUGAUCGCACGGGCUUGUCCCGGCGACGUAUCCUUCAAGUGUCUGCCUUAUCAACUUUCGAUGGUAGAUUAUGCGCCUACCAUGGUUGUAACGGGUAACGGAGAAUCAGGGUUUGAUUCCGGAGAGGGAGCCUGAGAAAUGGCUACCACAUCCAAGGAAGGCAGCAGGCACGCAAAUUACCCACUCCCGGCACGGGGAGGUAGUGACGAAAAAUAACAAGCUGGUCUCUUUGAGUUCCGGCAUUGUAAUGGGAACAACUUAAAUCAUUUAUCGAGGAUCUAUUGGAGGGCAAGUCUGGUGCCAGCAGCCGCGGUAAUUCCAGCUCCAAUAGCGUAUAUUAAAGUUGUUGCGGUUAAAAAGCUCGUAGUUGGAUCUACGAUCAAGGCUUGUGGUCGUCCUUCUCGGAUGUACUGCUUAGUCUGGUCGAAUUAUCUGGUGAACGAUUGAUGCUCUUCACUGAGUGUCUCUAGUUGCUGGAACGUUUACCUUGAAAAAAUUGAAGUGCUCAAAGCAGGCUUACGCCUGAACAUUGUUGCAUGGGAUAAUCGAAUAGGACUUCGGUUCUAUUUUGUUGGUUUCGGAACGCGAAGUAAUGAUUAAUAGGGACAGACGGGGGCAUUCGUAUUGCUGCGUUAGAGGUGAAAUUCUUGGAUCGUAGCAAGACGACCUACUGCGAAAGCAUUUGCCAAGAAUGUUUUCAUUAAUCAAGAACGAAAGUUAGAGGUUCGAAGGCGAUCAGAUACCGCCCUAGUUCUAACCGUAAACGAUGUUAACUAGCGACUCGCAGGUGUUACUUUAACGGCCCUGCGAGGAGCUCCCGGGAAACCUAAGUGUUCGAAUUCCGGGGGAAGUAUGGUUGCAAAGCUGAAACUUAAAGGAAUUGACGGAAGGGCACCACCAGGAGUGGAGCUUGCGGCUUAAUUUGACUCAACGCGGGGAAACUCACUUGGUCAGGACACUGUAAGGAUUGACAGAUUGAAAGCUCUUUCUUGAUUCGGUGGAUGGUGGUGCAUGGCCGUUCUUAGUUGGUGGAGUGAUUUGUCUGGUUAAUUCCGAUAACGAGCGAGA
rnacentral:rRNA from 1 species